UGUGGAGUGUCUGAAAAAAGAAUAACCUUGAUAGGGUUGAACAUGUACAUUGUACCUUCAUUA
rnacentral:tRNA from 1 species